AGCACCCCUGCAUAAGUCUGGUGUUAUUAAGUUUGUGAUUCCGUUAAAUGAUCAAGAAUGGUUGCGCGUUGUCUAGUACGUACAUUUUGAGUUCUCUGCAUAUAUAUAGUGCAGAGGGUUGGUGCAAAAGACAUUUGGGUAUGGAUUGGUUUGAUCAUUAGUAGAGAUUUUAUGCCACUGUCAUUUAAAACAAUUUCUAGUCCACCAUCCUCAGCUGUUCUUAGCCUCCCAGCUAGCAUUGGCUUCUCCGAUAAUGCAAUUUCCAUCGAUGUCUUGGCCCAACCAGCUACUAUCCAACC
rnacentral:lncRNA from 1 species